AUGAACGCUGGCGGCGUGCUUAACACAUGCAAGUCGAACGGGAAUUACUUUAUUGAAACUUCGGUCGAUUUAAUUUAAUUCUAGUGGCGGACGGGUGAGUAACGCGUGGGUAACCUGCCUUAUACAGGGGGAUAACAGUCAGAAAUGGCUGCUAAUACCGCAUAAGCGCACAGAGCUGCAUGGCUCGGUGUGAAAAACUCCGGUGGUAUAAGAUGGACCCGCGUUGGAUUAGCUUGUUGGUGGGGUAACGGCCCACCAAGGCGACGAUCCAUAGCCGGCCUGAGAGGGUGAACGGCCACAUUGGGACUGAGACACGGCCCAGACUCCUACGGGAGGCAGCAGUGGGGAAUAUUGCACAAUGGGGGAAACCCUGAUGCAGCGACGCCGCGUGAAGGAAGAAGUAUCUCGGUAUGUAAACUUCUAUCAGCAGGGAAGAUAGUGACGGUACCUGACUAAGAAGCCCCGGCUAACUACGUG
rnacentral:rRNA from 1 species